rnacentral:rRNA from 1 species
CCUACGGGAGGCAGCAGUAGGGAAUCUUCCGCAAUGGACGAAAGUCUGACGGAGCAACGCCGCGUGAGUGAUGAAGGUUUUCGGAUCGUAAAACUCUGUUGUUAGGGAAGAACAAGUGCGAGAGUAACUGCUCGCACCUUGACGGUACCUAACCAGAUAGCCACGGCUAACUACGUGCCAGCAGCCGCGGUAAU